rnacentral:rRNA from 1 species
GCUAACCAGCUAGCUUAAUAAUUAAUAUAACUUAACAAUAUUUAUAACAAAACAAGACCUAACCCUAUAAACUAAACCAUUUUUUUACCUGAGUAUGGGAGACAGAAAAGGUUCGCCUUAAAGCUAUAGAAAAAGUACCGCAAGGACUGCUGAAAGAGAAAUGAAACAACCCAUAUAAGCACUAAAAACCAAAGACUAAACCUUGUACCUUUUGCAUCAUGAUUUAGCCAGCACCCUCAAGCAAAGAGAUCUUUAGUUUGACACCCCGAAACCAGGUGAGCUACCCCGAGACAGCCUAAAUAAUUUAGGGCCAACCCGUCUCUGUGGCAAAAGAGUGGGAAGAGCUCUGGGUAGAAGUGACAGACCUACCGAACCUGGUGAUAGCUGGUUGCCUAAGAAAUGGAUAGAAGUUCAGCCUCGUACCCCCUUAAUCAAAAAUAUAUUAUUAAGACUACGGAGAUGUACGAGAGUUAGUUAAAGGGGGUACAGCCCCUUUAACAAAGGAUACAACCUUUACAGGAGGAUAAAGAUCAUAAUAGAUAAAAUAAACUGUUAUAGUGGGCCUGAAAGCAGCCAUCUAAAUAGAAAGCGUUAAAGCUCAGACAGAGAGGAAUUUAUUAUCCCGAUAAAUAAUCUUACUCCCCUAAUUUU